rnacentral:rRNA from 1 species
CCUACGGGUGGCAGCAGUGGGGAAUAUUGCGCAAUGGGCGAAAGCCUGACGCAGCGACGCCGCGUGAGGGAUGAAGGUCUUCGGAUCGUAAACCUCUGUCAGCAGGGAAGAAAAGUCACUGUGCUAAUCAGCAGUGAAUUGACGGUACCUGCAAAGGAAGCACCGGCUAACUCCGUGCCAGCAGCCGCGGUAAUACGGAGGGUGCGAGCGUUAAUCGGAAUUACUGGGCGUAAAGCGCGCGUAGGCGGUAUGUCAAGUCAAGGGUGAAAUCCCCGGGCUCAACGGGGGAACUGCAUUUGAAACUGGCAAACUGGAGUGUGGUAGAGGUAAGUGGAAUUCCUGGUGUAGGGGUGAAAUGCGUAGAUAUCUGGAGGAACAUCAGUGGCGAAGGCGACUAUCUGGCACAUAACUGACGCUGAGGAGUGAAAGCGUGGGUAGCAAACAGGAUUAGAUACCCCUGUAGUC